UACAGAGGGGGCAAGCGUUGUUCGGAAUUACUGGGCGUAAAGGGCGCGUAGGCGGACAGUUUAGUCAGAGGUGAAAGCCCCAGGGCUCAACCUUGGAAUUGCCUUUGAUACUGGCUGUCUUGAGUUCGGGAGAGGUGAGUGGAAUGCCGAGUGUAGAGGUGAAAUUCGUAGAUAUUCGGCGGAACACCAGUGGCGAAGGCGACUCACUGGCCCGAUACUGACGCUGAGGCGCGAAAGCGUGGGGAGCAAACAGG
rnacentral:rRNA from 1 species